CGGUAAUGGGGGCGGCUUACCAUGCAGUCGAGCGGGGAAGUAUAGCUUGCUAUACGACCUAGCGGCGGACGGGUGAGUAAUGCUUAGGAAUCUGCCUAUUAGUGGGGGACAACAUUCCGAAAGGAAUGCUAAUACCGCAUACGCCCUACGGGGGAAAGCAGGGGAUCUUCGGACCUUGCGCUAAUAGAUGAGCCUAAGUCAGAUUAGCUAGUUGGUGGGGUAAAGGCCUACCAAGGCGACGAUCUGUAGCGGGUCUGAGAGGAUGAUCCGCCACACUGGGACUGAGACACGGCCCAGACUCCUACGGGAGGCAGCAGUGGGGAAUAUUGGACAAUGGGCGAAAGCCUGAUCCAGCCAUGCCGCGUGUGUGAAGAAGGCCUUUUGGUUGUAAAGCACUUUAAGCGAGGAGGAGGCUACCGAGAUUAAUACUCUUGGAUAGUGGACGUUACUCGCAGAAUAAGCACCGGCUAACUCUGUGCCAGCAGCCGCGGUAAUACAGAGGGUGCGAGCGUUAAUCGGAUUUACUGGGCGUAAAGCGUGCGUAGGCGGCUUUUUAAGUCGGAUGUGAAAUCCCUGAGCUUAACUUAGGAAUUGCAUUCGAUACUGGGAAGCUAGAGUAUGGGAGAGGAUGGUAGAAUUCCAGGUGUAGCGGUGAAAUGCGUAGAGAUCUGGAGGAAUACCGAUGGCGAAAGCAGCCAUCUGGCCGUAAUACUGACGCUGAGGUACGAAAGCAUGGGGAGCAAACAGGAUUAGAUACCCUGGUAGUCCAUGCCGUAACGAUGUCUACUAGCCGUUGGGGCCCUUUGAGGCUUUAGUGGCGCAGCUAACGCGAUAAGUAGACCGCCCUGGGGGAGUACGGGUCGCAAGACUAAAACUCAAUGAAUUUGACGGGGGCCCGCACAAGCCGGUGGAGCAUGUGGUUUUACUUCGAUGCACGCGAGAAACGUUACUGCUCGUGGACAUAGUUAGGACUGUCAGAAGAAUGGAAUGGUUGCGUUCAGUACGUACAAUAACAAGUGCUUGCCAUUGACCUGUCGAUCAGCUCAGGUCCGUGACAUGAUUGAUUAAGGUUCCAGCACGAACGCAUGCCGUUUCGUACUUGGCA
rnacentral:rRNA from 1 species